GAAACUUAAUAAUUUGACGGUAUUUAAAAUCAUAAAGGAGCUUGUAAUUUAAUCGUCAACACGCGUUUCAUCUUACUUAUAUUAAUUUGUAUACCUCCGUUAAAGACUCUAUUUAAAAUAUAAGAAAAUUUCAAAAAAACAACAUUAAAAAAUCAGGUCAAGGUGCAGUUUAUUAAGAUAUUAUGAGCUACAAUCAAAAACUAAAGACAUAGAUUUCUAAUGAAAAUAAGCAAAAAAGUGAAUUUAUAAGUAAAAUAAAAUUAAAAUAUUUAUUUGAAAUAUCUUAAAUAUGUACACAUCG
rnacentral:rRNA from 1 species